AGAAUAAUUGCUAUCUGUAAAUUUAAAAUGAGAAGAGCAGAAACCAACCAGGACGAUAAAUCACCAUGGAUGCAGGAGUCUGAGGUGUUAUCUCCAUUGCUUCGGAAAUACGAUCAUCAAUUCAGUGCUCUACAGAAGACAUUAGAAGAAACUAGGGUAGACGUGUUGCAAUUGAGAUCUAAACUGUCACAGAAAACGGAUGAAAACACAAAGUAAGCACCCAUUUAAAUGAAUCUUUUGUUAAUAUCUGAA